UAAGAAACAACGGACACUGGAGGAAGAAGAACGCCCGAUUUGAACUGAACUCACCGGAAUGGGACAUAUUGCACCGAUAUGACAUUAAAUCAAGCACAAAACAGUUUUGGCAGCAGAGCGGCCGUGCUCCGAGCUUUCAUUCUCAUUUCAUCCUCCCUCCAUCUCUUCCUCCGCUUUCCUACAUUCCCUUUCCUUACGCUUCAGAGAUAGAGAAAGACUCAGAGACUCCUGCACUCGCAAUGCAAGCAUCCUGCCCAGAGUGUUUUUCAGCUCAUUUUCAAAUGGUCACCACAUUGGAGCAUUUGAUCCUCAAGUUGGGUGCCCUUCCUGCCACAACCCAUCCAUUUCUCCAGGCUUGAGACUCUCACUGGAGAUGCUUUGCAACAUAGUGGUGGAAGGGCUAGAACUCCCCAACCCUCCAAUCAACAACCCAGCGCCUCUACUGACUGAAACCUGAUUUAUGCUCCUUCAUCAAGUCUACGUAGAGCCCAAGCUGUAGGCUAGACAAGUGGCCUACAGCAUUGCGAGCAUUUAUACUUGUACGUCUCUUUACCACCCUAUGGUAAAGGUUUUUUUUUUGGUGCACUACAAACACUAGCGAAUGAAACGGAAUGGAUCUUGUUGGUGGAGCUGGAAUUUGAACAGCUGUUACUUUACAAAAAUAGUCUGAAAAUAAUCAACUGAAUUAAAAGAAUGGAAGCAUAGAAGCUGGAAAUACAACGCAAGCAGGUUGACCUAUCAAAGUUGCUACAUGCGGAUUGGGCUAAUUGGCGAAUGAGCAUGUGUUUGUGUGUGCCUUGUGAUGGAGAGACACCCAAUCCGUGUCCUAUGUCCCCUGGGAUAGCCUCCCGUCCACCCACAACCCUGUAUACAAAACUAAGCGGUAUAGACAAUGAGUGAGUGAUUUUAUGAAGUUUAUGAAGAUUAUCCCAAAUAUUUCAAUCAAAGCAAAACAUAAUAUAGUACCCAAGCUCAAUGGUGAUAAAAUACACAACUUUCUGGUAAUUAGACCUUAGUAUAUUUACCUGUUUGAGAUCCUAACAGCCUGGCUAUGUGAGCAUCACAAGAUGACGCUCUGGAUGAAGCUCCGCUAGCAAUCAAAACGGCAUGAUUAAAGAGCUCCGGGAAGAGCUAAUGAAAUGAAACGUCUGUUAGGUGCCUUCUUCCAGUUGAUCUCUUUCUUCAUUUCCUCUUUCAUACACCCACACACGGUAUAUCAACAGUAUGUUUUCCGUCACAUAACAAUAUUAGCCUUAAGCCAUGUCACCUUUCAGGCUAGUGUGUGUGAUGAAAGGAUGAGCCUGAAGUGCCUCAGGCAUUUUGCUUUAGGUGAUCCACCUCUGUGUUAUCCCUGAAUGAUAUAACCUUAAUCUCUGUCUCUCUCUCUCUUACAUGUCUAAGACCCAUGUGUCACUUUUUUUCCCAUGAAAAAUCUGCAGUUUGUAACGUUUCAUUCAGUAAAGCUUAAACGUAUCAUUGUAAAGAACAGAAUUAAUAAAGACAGAGCCUUAAGUUUUA